CCGACCUACGGGCAGCAGUAGGGAAUUUUCGUCAAUGGGCGCAAGCCUGAACGAGCAAUGCCGCGUGAACGAGGAAGGUCUUCGGAUCGUAAAGUUCUGUUGAAGGGGAAAAAGAGCGGAGAGAGGAAAUGCUUUCUGAUUGAUAUUACCCUUCGAGGAAGUCACGGCUAACUACGUGCCAGCAGCCGCGGUAAUACGUAGGUGGCGAGCAUUAUCCGGAAUGAUUGGGCGUAAAGGGUGCGUAGGCGGCCUGCUAAGUCUGGAGUGAAAGGUACCGGCUCAACCGGUACAGGCUCUGGAAACUG
rnacentral:rRNA from 1 species